rnacentral:lncRNA from 1 species
CAGGCUGUCAUAAUAUGGAUAUAAAAAGCCAGAAAGGAAAGUCUGACCUCGAGGCUCUUUCCUGGUACAGGGUAAAAACCAAGUGCUUCAGAUUCUGCAAAUCAUGGCCCUCAUGUUUGAAAUCUUCCCGACUCUUCUGCUGAUUCAAUAUAAGCUCAUUUUAGUAUUUAUGUGCUCCUGAAUCAUGACUUCAAGUUGCUCCAUCAUCUCUUUAUCUUCCUACAUCAUACCAGUCCAAACAUGUCGUCAAGUGGCAAACUAUAAACAAAACAAUUGCCGUGUUCUUUAAGGACCUGUGUGGGGAUCCCAAUUCCCAGUUGCAGUUCAAUAAGACUGAUAGGGAAAUCCAGGUCAUUACGACAUCACCACACUGUUCAAGCAUUUCAGCACAAAUAUGUUAAAUCAAGAAUUCGUCUGUGAUGGCCACUCGAAUGAUUACGUAGUUAAAACAGUUUACCAAAUAAACAACUAUUUUAACAAAAUAUAUCAAAUUGUUUGUAAGAAAACAAAUUCGUUAUACAACCAAGCACCACCAUGAUCUAGAAUGCAUUAAAGUCAGCUGGGAAAUAAUAUUUUGAUAUUAAAAUGUGAAGACCAAAUCCAAAAUCAAAUUGCAAAGCUACUGUUUGUCAUUUGCACUUUGCAGAAAACUAGAACAGUCCUGCUCACUGCAAAUAUAUAUACUUAAUCCAACCAGAAAAGGCAGACCACAUGAAAAUAUAGGGAACAAUCAGCAUCUUUUAAUAGUAAUGUCGAUAAGUUUAUUCAGUUAUCAUAGACUUUCAUUUCGCAGCAGUAGCUUAUUGAUGCACUUAAAAUUAUGAAGUACAACAGAGGUCACCAAGUAUUUGUAAGGGAAUACUAGUAGUAAUGUUUAUAGAGGAAGUUCCGACCACCAUGACUGGGUGUCUUGAAUUCGAAUAAAUAUAUGUAUAAAGUUUUCAGCAACAAUCGAUAUAAUAACAGUAUAUUGAUCCUAACACAAGACGCACAUAUAUAAAAACUUCACAUUGAUCUUUAAGAUCAACACGUUUACAAACAUUACUUUCACAUAGAGUUAAUUGCAAAUUGCACCCCUAAACUUGGGCUCAAACGCACUUCAGUCAACAUACUUUUGGAAAUUGCAAUUUGCAACCCCUUACUAUUUAGUGAUGUCGAAUGCAGCGCACUAAAUAGUAAGGGGUUGCAAACUGCAAUUUUCAAAAAUAUGUUGACUGAAGUGCGUUUGGACAUAAAUAUGUAUUCAGUUUGCAAUCGCAAAGCAGGGGGGGAUUUGAACUUCAGAGAGAGAAUUAGAGAGAAUAUGGAUAAUAUAGCUACUGUCCUGGGAAAAAGCAUUUUCAAGCAACUAUAAAGAGAUGCUAAGAAAUAGAUUCAACUGAAGUUCACAUAUCUCUGACAUGAGCAAACUGAUUAAAUAUUAUAGAAGGGGAUUACAGGCGAAGAAAUUAGAAAUCUUCAAUAGCUAUUCCACCAAUCUCUAAAAUUAUUCAAUCAUAAGUUAAAAAUAGAUAAUAAAAUUAUUCUAUGAUGAGUCAAAAUAGAUAAUAAUUACUCAAUCAAUUGUCGACUCAAUUUCAAGCUCCUUGUUAUUUUAGCUCAUUAAUUCAAGCUUCUUAUUACUUCCACCAAGGCACGCUUGAGUAGAGUUACAUACUUGCAUAGUUUUCUCAGCAGCUUAUCCGAUAGGAACGGUUCCAGUUAGACUUUUUUAGCAUUUCGUAUUUCACCAGAAUAAGCUUCAUCAAAAGUUUUUCAGAAAACGACCUCUCACCUCUUCAAUUAGAGGUGUUUUAGAGCAUUCACAGCCGGCCCCCAAUCCCCAACCCUAAAAACUUACUAAAAAUAGUACUCCCUCUGUUUUGAAAUAUAAGUCGUUUGACUUUUUUGCACACGUCUCUAAGUCCAUUGACCGCAUGCUAAAAAUCAUUAUUUUUGAAAUUUUCUUUUUUUGAAUAAAAAUAUAUGAUUUAUAUUUUUAUUCAAAAGACUUAAAAAUAUAUGAUAAUUGAGGUGCGGUCAAAAGACUUAAAAAUACGUGCAAAAAAGUCAAACGAACUAUAUUUCAAAAUGGAAGGAGUAAUCCCUCAAAAAUUUUUACAAACUUUUAAAAAUUUCUUCCAUCCCAUUCCCCAUAUUGAAUCCCUAUUACCCAGAAAAGUAUAAGAUAACACAUGAAAUUAAUAAAAUAAUAAUGAAAUGAUAAUGAAAUGGAAGAUGAAUAGUGUACGAGAGAUGAAUAGUGUAACCCCAAAUAUGAGGAUUUAUUUCUAAUCUCAAAACCAAACCCUAUUUUGGGGUUCCGGAUGUAGAGUACAUUUUUGCAAAAGUUAGUAGAUUUCUUUAAAUUAUGGGGUUGGGGUUGGUUUUGGGGAAUGGGAUGAGAAUGCUCUUAAACACCAUAUUCAGUUUGUACAUUCAUCUUCUACUGUUUUAGAGUUCUACUGUUUUAGAGUAGAGAUAAGUUUUGCGUACAUCUUACUCUACCUAAACCAAUACAACCAAUACACCGGUGACCUAACAUUGCUUUGUUUAUUUAGUUUGUAGUUUAUAAUGCUCCCUUGGUAACUUCAAUUUGUUUAGUAUAUCAGUUCCCUUGAUGUACUCAGUAAAGUUUACACAAGAUCAAUUUAAUGAAGCUUAGAAUUAGCGAUCAUCUAUCGACUAUCAUAGCUAAAGAGUAUUGCAAGAUAAAUUUAUAAUCCUUCAGGUACGUACUCAAGCUAUAUAGCUAAAUGAUUUUACAAAAGUCGACAAUACAAAUGAAAUGAUCAAAACAAAAUAAAAAUUUAAUUUAUUUUGAACAAAUUUGAAAAGCUUACAGCUGAGCGGCUGAGCCUGAUGAACAGCUAGAG